rnacentral:rRNA from 1 species
UACGAAGGGUGCAAGCGUUACUCGGAAUUACUGGGCGUAAAGCGUGCGUAGGCGGUUUGUUAAGUCUGAUGUGAAAGCCCUGGGCUCAACCUGGGAAUGGCAUUGGAUACUGGCAGUCUAGAGUGCGGUAGAGGGUAGCGGAAUUCCCGGUGUAGCAGUGAAAUGCGUAGAUAUCGGGAGGAACAUCCGUGGCGAAGGCGGCUACCUGGACCAGCACUGACACUGAGGCACGAAAGCGUGGGGAGCAAACAGG